rnacentral:rRNA from 1 species
GACGAACCGCCCAAACGUUAUUCGGAAUUACUGGGCUUAAAGGGUGCGUAGGCGGUGCGGUAAGUUGGAUGUGAAAUCCCUCGGCUCAACCGAGGAACUGCGUUCAAUACUGCCGUGCUUGAGGGAGACAGAGGCGAGCGGAACUGAUGGUGGAGCGGUGAAAUGCGUUGAUAUCAUCAGGAACACCCGUGGCGAAAGCG